CCGGGGUGAGUAUUACAUCAGGUACUGGUGUGCUUUUAAACAACACUGGGACAUCGGCCUCUUUCCACUUCAGUGGAGGACUCUGUCUUCGGUCAAUCUAUCAGUACUUGUGUCAUACUCUCCCCGU
rnacentral:pre_miRNA from 1 species